rnacentral:rRNA from 1 species
GACGAACGCUGGCGGCGUGCUUAACACAUGCAAGUCGAACGGAAAGGCCCUGCUUUUGUGGGGUGCUCGAGUGGCGAAGGGGUGUGUAACAUGUGAGUAACCUGCCCUUGACUUUGGGAUAACUUCAGGAAACUGGGGCUAAUACCGGAUAGGAGCUCCUGCUGCAUGGGGGGGGUUGGAAAGUUUAGGCGGUUGGGGAUGGACUCGCGGCUUAUGAGCUUGUUGGUGGGGUAGUGGCUUACCAAGGCUUUGACGGCUAGCCGGCAUGAGAGGGUGACCGGCCACAUUGGGACUGAGAGACGGCCCAGACUCCUACGGGAGGCAGCAGUGGGGAGUAUUGCACAGUGGGCGGAAGCCUGAUGAAGCAACGCCGCGUGCGGGAUGACGGCCUUCGGGUUGUAAACCGCUUUCGCCUGUGACGAAGCGUGAGUGACGGUAAUGGGUAAAGAAGCACCGGCUAACUACGUG